UAAUGUUUAUUAGUAGCGUAUUGUAGCCAGCUACUUUUCAAAAGAGUAACUCUACUGUAGUUGAACUGCUUAUUAAAUUACGAUUAGCUUAAAUUGCCCCACCAUUUCUAAAUACCAUUACUAACAGCUUUUGUGAGAAGGAAAUGUAAAAAUCUUUCGGUAAUUUAGUUUGUUUUUGAAUAAUAAGCCUUGCUAGAACAACAUUUCUUUCAUGUUUGCCACCAAAAGAUUAGCUUUGUUGUUAACCUCCAAAAGAUGAGCCAUGGGACAAACCCAUCAAAGUAUUACGAUGGCAAUAUCCUGACGCCAGCAAUAAACCUGAGAAGAAAACAAUGGCAGAAAAGGACGUUAGCCUCGCCUUUGCCUCGAGUGAAUUUCGGACAGGUUGAAUGAGAGUGUGAAGUUUGACCCAGGUUUCCUGCGAUUCAGGCCAGGUAUGUGCGUAGUGAGUUUAUAAACAUCUGGAUUAUACCUUAGCGCGUAUAAUAACAUAUUUGGAAACACACUCGGUCCAGCCUCUACACUCCCAAAAGCAGUCCUUUCUGGAAAUGACAUGGUCUGCUCUGCCUAUCUGGCAACGUUCAUUCAAACAGAGACCGGUCCAUUCAGAAGCCCAGAGUGCACUCAUUCAUGCUCAACACAAGCCCUGCCUUUGCUCUCUCUCUCUCUCUCACAUUCACUUUCUUUAUUUAUUUAUCUCCGAGUUUGCUUAGCAACCGUGCCGCAAAGUGAAGCACUGCAGCGGUGAGUCAACCUGCCGUCGUACUGACGAGAGAUGGAAGGACAGAUGAUGCUGUCAGGCUGCAGACAAGGUGAAGGACUGGAGCCAUCCACGUCUUCCGUUAAGCCGCGUGGGCUCACACAGAGACAGCAGCGGAUGAUUCAUAUCGGCUGGAGUGCUCCUUUUGUGAACUGCUGCCGCCACAUCUCUGCUGUAACAUGGCCUUCAUAAAGAUGAAGCCACGAAGGGCCUUGAAAUGGAUGGAAGCAACACAAACAGGGAGCUGUAAGCUCUGGGCUGACAUUCCUGCCGCGAAUCUAUUCAUAGCCGGUGGAGAAACUCAAGGUUUAAAUGUCUUUAUUUCAUUCGCGCAUUUGUGCGAUGAGAAGCACUUCGCGCAACCGUUAGCGGUUUCGUCCUGUCGCGAAUUCAAAUGUUUUGCUAAUAACGUGAACACGCACACUUUUGGCUGUGGUGGAUUAGACAAUGUGGCCACAAUUCGUCUCUAAAUCAAACAGCAAACAGGAACGGAAAGAAUCUUGUGGAGUUGUGUCGCGGAGAGACGCGCGUGGGCUGAGCGACAGAGCUCUUGUUUUGCCGCUGCUGAAGUCCAGAAGCGAGUGAAAACACACAAAAAAAGCUAAUGCUUUAUUUCCAAACAAAGCACUUCUAUGUGGCGCUUCUUGGAAGACAUUCCUCUCCAGCAUUCCAGAGCGUGUGGAGGUGGAGGUCUCGACCACUGGCUCUGAGGAUAAUUAAGUUUGUAAUUUUUAAUGAAAUGUCCCACCUACGCACUCUGAAUGUCCUGAAACCUCUUUGUCUCUGUCUGCCUGGCUACCUCUCUCUACCUCUACCUCACAUAUAUAAAUUACAUAUAAUAUACAGUAUAUAUGCGUCUUAUAUAUUAUGCAUAAAAAACAUCUCAUAUAUUAUUUAUAUGACUAGUUUUAAUUUUUUUUUACAUGUAUUAUUA